GUGCACCAGGCGCGAAACCUCCGCAAUACACGAAAGUGUGACGGGGCCAUCCCGAGUGCCGUCCGCUGAGGACGGCUUUUCCCCAGUGUACACAGCUGGGGGAAUAAGGAGAGGGCAAGCCUGGUGUCAGCCGCCGCGGUAAUACCCAGCUCUCCGAGUGGUGGGGACGCUUAUUGGGCCUAAAGCAUCCGUAGCCGGCUGGGCAAGUCCUCCGUUAAAUCCAACGAUUCAAUCGUUGGGCUGCGGGGGAGUACUGUCCGAGCUUGGGGGCGGGAGGAGGCCGACGGUAGUCCCCGGGGUA
rnacentral:rRNA from 1 species